UCAGAGCAAUAAUCCAGAGGGGACGCACCAUUGGCACGGUAAGCAGCAACUUCUUCGUGACUACUAGUACUAUCAAGUUGCAGCAUUACAUGGUCACAGCAGUAGCAUAGAUGAUACGUGCUUGGCACGGUGGAUCUUUCAUUCCAUGAGCCUCAUGUACAAAUACGCUUUCUGUGUAUGCACAUCAGUAUUCGUGCAAUAAAAACACACUGGAAUUUUUCUCUCCAACACACGCCCAAAGGCGUGUCGCUUGUGUUAAGUGUAUUAGAAUGAGAAUUGAGAACACCAGUAUGCCCGCAACGUAUACAAAACAAAACCAGCCAACAAAAGAAGUAGGGAAAAAAAACUAAGCUAACCAAGCCUAAAAGCUAGUAUCAAAAACAGAGGAAAGAGAAGCAAAGCCGUAGGCUACAGACAGCUUAAGGCAGGGCUUGUGGCUACACUGGAAAUUGGGAGAACUAAAAAGCACUUCUGAUUUCUAAUUGUUCUGUCUUAGUUAUUCCCUACUCCUAAAAUGUACUCCAUCCGUAAACUAAUAUAAGAGUGUUUAGAUAACUAAAAUAGUGAUCUAAACACUCUUAUAUUAGUUUACAGAGGGAGUAUUUUAAUUCAGUCUAUCCAUUUCUCUGCCUUUAUUGGAGCUAGGCGCCCUAGCAGCAUUUGUAACAUAGCUGUUAGUUUCAACUGGAAUAACUUGAAACAGACCUGCAUCACAGAGAGAAACUGAACAAACUGUAGAAUAAAUAAGUUAUUCUGCUGUAAAACAAGAAGGUUCAUAAUAUUAAAACAUUUUACAGGUAAAAUUAACUCAACAUAAGCGGCUUCAGAUUGUAAUAAUUUGGAAAGAUACAACAGACAAGUCUUUCACUCAUUUCAUUUAGCACCUGAUAAUCAAAUUGUCUGUCUUCUCGGGAUUGACUCAUUUCACCUUGGACCCGAUACAUCUGAGGCUACAGGUGGAGCUGAAGAGUUCACAUUUCCAGCAAUACUGAAAUUUGGUUCAUUUGUUGCGACAAAGUUAUGAUCUAUGUUGCUCUCUGCAUCCAUGGUACCUUCCAAGACUUUGACUACCUCGGACAUUUUAGGCCUUUUUUUGCAGUCAAUCUGCAAACACCACAUCGCUAGCUUCAUCAUCUGGAUUACAUCUCGCUCGUGUGCUUGCAUGUCAUUACUGCUCUUGUCAAUCAAAUCUUCCAACUGAUUCUUCUCCACCUUUUCUUCCAAUAGGGUAAUAAGAUGGAUGCUCUCUUCAGACAGGGAAGUGUCGAGGUUCUUUCUUCCGCUCACGAUUUCCAUGACCACAACGCCAAAGCUAUAGACAUCGGCCUUCUCCGUGAUUUGUGAUGUCAACCAUUCAGGGGCGAGAUAUCCAGGUGUGCCUCUCAUUCUUGUAAUCACUUGGCUCAUAUCCCUAUCAAUGAGCUUGCAUAGACCAAAAUCAGAGAGUUUAGCAUUGAAGUCGUCAUCUAAGAGGAUGUUUUGUGGUUUGACAUCCAAAUGAGCAAUUCUCUUCAUGCAAUCCUCGUGAAGAUAAGAUAGACCCUUAGCUAUGUCAGUGAUAAUCUUGCAUCGCACCCUCCAUUCUAACGGAGGAGCACUAUUUUCAUGUCGACCAUAGAUCCACCUGUCCAAGGAUCCUUUUGGCAUAUACUCAUAAACCAAGAGCCUAUGGGAUUUCUCUGCACAGAAACCAAACAGCCUCACCAGAUUGAUAUGAUGAAUGCUGCCGAUUGUCUGAACCUCCGCCAAGAAUUCUCUCUUCCCCUGACCAGCUCGAUCCAAACGUUUUACCGCAAUCCUUUCCUCGCCUAGCUGCCCCUCGAAAACAGACCCAAAUCCUCCUUCCCCGAGCUUGUCCUUGAAUUGCUCUGUUGCUGCUUCUAACUGUUGAAACGUAAACCUCAUUGGCGUUCCUUGUAGCUGACUGAAGUCUGCCUCCUCUUCCUCCAUCUCCUGGUGUCGUCGUGUUCUUCUUCGACGUAUGAUGAAAAAGAUGAAUGUGAUAAUUAAAACUAUGGCACCUGCAAUUGCAACUGAAACAAAAAUGCCUACUGAGGGUCCUUUGCGUAGUGGCCUAAGAUCAGCUGAGUUAGGAGGACUUGGAGGUGAAGACGUUAGAUUGAUUGGUGGGCAAAAGAUGACCUGGUAGUUGGUAUCCAAUGGACAACUGAAUGAAGUUUCCGUGACAGCAUCACUGGAGUAACUUAUUGCCUCCGGGCACAUCCGCACAAAGAAGGCCGAGUAUUUGUUGGAUUCACAGGGUGUCAUAGAGCAGCAGUACAAAUUGGACUGAGUUUUGAACACAUCGCAUGCGCUGUUGCAGCCUCCCGGCACCUUGAGCUCGCUCGGACACUGUGACGUGAUGUUGGCCCCACACUGCGGCCCCUUUGUGCACCCUGAUCCCCCUUGCCCCUUGACCGGCAUUGGCAAGAACUCCAUUGGUACGUUGAAGCCCUGGUAGAGGGAGAUACCGAAGAAACUGUUGUUGUUAUACUGGUUGAGCGAGAAUUGAGCAGACGUGAUGGGUGCCUGGCCAUAUGUCUUGCAGGCGAGCAAGCCUUCGCAGUCGCCUGUCUGGCAUGACCCAUUGCCUUUGCCGUCAAACGAGCAGCCUGUGCGCGCCCACACACUUCCUCCACGGGUGUCAGAAGGCACCUGGAGGGUCCAUGUCUUCCCUGAGUCCAGCCGCAUGCCGCCACCCUCCGGCAGAGCGGCCGGCCAUACAGUGUAUGGGCAUUGGUUGGUGAUGUUGACUAUGGUUUGGGUGGUGACGAAUGGCAGGAGCAGGAGGCGGAGCAAGAGGAGGAGGGGAGGUGGGUGGUGGAGACUCAGGGAGGAGGUACCCAUAACUGCCAUCUGUGUCAGUCUGGUAAUAUGACCCCUCUUGGAUGAGAUGAUAAAGGAGGGAUGGAAUGGAGGUCUAGAUCAGUGUAUACUUGUAUGAUAUCUGCAUGUUGAAAAUGUUCAACGGUCUACGGUCAACAGCGUAUGGCCUAACUCACUGUUAGCUGUCCUCCGAUACAAACAGUUUGACAGGCCAACGACUUGAUUGCUGCUUGUGUUAGAUGUUUACUUCUUAGCUCCUUUCAAGCUCUUGUUGAACAUCCUUACCAAGUUACCAUACAUGCAAACUGUUGACAAUACAUAUUUUUUGCUUACGACAGCGCGAACAUAUCGUCGACAUAUUUUUUUUGUGAAAGAAAGCUUUUACUGUAUUACUCAAUGAUAUAUUUUUGCUUCAGGUGUUCAUUCCUGGUCUAAUCUGAUGCAUAUGCUCAUGCUGCGUCAGCCAGAUCACCUGUAACACUGGACCCUGGAGGGGCACUGGGGGCAGCAACGCGAAGGCUAUAAUCUGUGGGGUCGAGAUCACUAUGGAACAGGAUCAUGGGGGCCGGCGAGCUGAGCUUGGUCAGCGGCAGCGGCAGCUGCGUCGAAGCAGCUUGAGGAGUGGAGGUCAACAAUGGCGGCAACUCUUGGGUGGUGGGCAGAAGGCCUCGUGCAUUAUUUUUGUGGUUGGGAUGUUGGCACUUGGCACGUCAUAUUCAACCAAUCUAUCUCGAUUACAAGUUGUCAUGUAAUCCAAGCUUUUUGGAAGUGAAAGAUGUGGAGGAAUGGAGCUCAUCAAGGCCACAAAAGAAAGCAUGUUGUAGAUCACCAUUCAGCAGCCCGUUCGUUGGGGAUAAUAGUCUCUCUUCGCGACUAUUUUUAUCUGGAGCAUGCUUACACUCAAACAUAAAUUAUGUCAUGGAUGCUGUAUAAAAAAACUCAUUGGGAACGGUGGAAUGAAAUUCAGCAACAACUGAUAUUCAGAGGAAAGGAAAACUAAGAACCUGAAACAAAAACGGUUCAAAUGAUUUGAAGUACUGUCAUUUCAUGAAAAUAGUAAUUGUAU
rnacentral:lncRNA from 1 species